rnacentral:lncRNA from 1 species
CAUGAUGGAGGAGAGUUCGGAUGACGAAUAUAGCGAUGAAUCCAAGAACCUUCAAAGCCUCUUCAGGCUUGUCUAGGUUAAGGUACCAUUUGUCUCCGCAUACGUUUUUGGUUGCAGUUGUAUUCAUCUUCUCUCUAUGUUAUCUUAUUUGUUGUUCCUAUAGUAUUGCUGGAUUUAGAUGGAUUAAUUGUUUCUUGGGGAGGAAGAAAGCUUUUUGAUUUGUUGCUUUUUUUCUUCUUGUCUUUUGAUUUAGGGCCUUGAGAAUGGGAGGAAGUGAUUGUUUGUACUCAGAAAUUGGCGGAGACGCUUGUGGAUUCCUUCAUUCACAUUCCUUCUCUCUCCCACUCAUCAUAGUCAACAUCCUAGUCCAUGAAACAAACAAGAAAAGGUCAGGCAAAUGACACAUACAUAAUUAAUUAAAUUAUGCUAACGAUAUAGUAAUCUUUAUAUAAAAUCAAACAUAAAAUGGUAUUACAAAACCAUUCAGUAUUACAGAAGAUUUAGUUUUUGUUCUAUCAUACCAAUUUUAUUCCAAAAAUAGUAAAAUAUAUUAUGUUGAAAAUUGUUUAAUUACAAAUACAGCCCAAAUUAAGAAGAUUCUUUCUAGAAGGUUUGUUUUGACUAUAACACUUCUCCCUUCUGAUUCAGGUACUACUGGAUCGAAACUUGGAUUGGAAAACAAUGAAUGAAUCUCUGGAGCAUCAAAGUCUUAACUCUUGGUAAAUAACUUUCUCUCCUUUCUUGUUGGUGCCAUUUUAUUCAUUCAUUCAUUCAUUCCCUGAAUAUAGAUUACUUCACCUUGUUUAAUUUCAGAAGCUGCUAGGCAGAAAUAUUUGUCCAGCUUCGCUUUUCUGUUUCUUCAAAAUCUAGUAUUUUUUUCUUUCCCGUGCUUUGUUUCAGUGGUGGUGGAUUUUCUCCAGAUGUAGUUCAAACUUCAAACUGCAUGUAUUGUGAUCUGCUGGACAAAACAACUUCAUUCUAAAGUAUUUAUAAUGACUACUUUAUGUUCCUACUGCAUCAUUUGGCUUCAG